rnacentral:rRNA from 1 species
UACGUAGGGUGCGAGCGUUGUCCGGAUUUAUUGGGCGUAAAGGGCUCGUAGGCGGCGUGUCGCGUCGGGGAGUGAAAAGCCCGCUGCUUAACGGCGGGUUGGCUUCCGGUACGGGCAUCGCUGGAGUGCGGCAGGGGAGACUGGAAUUCCUGGUGUAGCGGUGGAAUGCGCAGAUAUCAGGAGGAACACCGGUGGCGAAGGCGGGUCUCUGGGCCGUUACUGACGCUGAGGAGCGAAAGCGUGGGGAGCGAACAGG